GACGUAGGUGGCGAACGUUAUCCGGAAUUAUUGGGCGUAAAGCGCACGUAGGCGGAUCUUUAAGUCAGGGGUGAAAUCCUGGAGCUCAACUCCAGAACUGCCUUUGAUACUGAGGAUCUUGAGUCCGGGAGAGGUGAGUGGAACUCCGAGUGUAGAGGUGAAAUUCGUAGAUAUUCGGAAGAACACCAGUGGCGAAGGCGGCUCACUGGCCCGGUACUGACGCUGAGGUGCGAAAGCGUGGGGAGCAAACAGG
rnacentral:rRNA from 1 species